rnacentral:rRNA from 1 species
ACGCGAAGAACCUUACCAGGUCUUGACAUCCCACUGACCGGUUUAGAGAUAAGCCUUUCCCUUCGGGGACAGUGGUGACAGGUGGUGCAUGGUUGUCGUCAGCUCGUGUCGUGAGAUGUUGGGUUAAGUCCCGCAACGAGCGCAACCCUUGAUCUUAGUUGCCAGCAUUCAGUUGGGCACUCUAAGGUGACUGCCGGUGACAAACCGGAGGAAGGUGGGGAUGACGUCAAAUCAUCAUGCCCCUUAUGACCUGGGCUACACACGUGCUACAAUGGACGAUACAAAGGGCUGCAAACCCGCGAGGGGGAGCCAAUCCCAUAAAAUCGUUCUCAGUUCGGAUUGUAGGCUGCAACUCGCCUACAUGAAGCCGGAAUCGCUA